CCUUACCUACUCUUGACAUCCAGAGAACUUAGCAGAGAUGCUUUGGUGCCUUCGGGAACUCUGAGACAGGUGCUGCAUGGCUGUCGUCAGCUCGUGUUGUGAAAUGUUGGGUUAAGUCCCGCAACGAGCGCAACCCUUAUCCUUUGUUGCCAGCGAUUCGGCCGGGAACUCAAAGGAGACUGCCGGUGAUAAACCGGAGGAAGGUGGGGAUGACGUCAAGUCAUCAUGGCCCUUACGAGUAGGGCUACACACGUGCUACAAUGGCGCAUACAAAGAGAAGCGACCUCGCGAGAGCAAGCGGACCUCAUAAAGUGCGUCGUAGUCC
rnacentral:rRNA from 1 species